CCUACGGGUGGCAGCAGUGAGGAAUAUUGGUCAAUGGCCGUAAGGCUGAACCAGCCAAGUAGCGUGAGGGAAGACUGCCCUAUGGGUUGUAAACCUCUUUUAUGCGGGGAUAAAGUUUGCCACGUGUGGAUUUUUGCAUGUACCGCAUGAAUAAGGACCGGCUAAUUCCGUGCCAGCAGCCGCGGUAAUACGGAAGGUCCGGGCGUUAUCCGGAUUUAUUGGGUUUAAAGGGUGCGUAGGCCGCUCUUUAAGCGAGCCGUGAAAUUUUGUGGCUCAACCAUGAGAGUGCGGGGCGAACUGGGGACCUUGAGUGCGCGGAAGGCAGGCGGAAUUCGUGGUGUAGCGGUGAAAUGCUUAGAUAUCAUGAAGAACCCCGAUUGCGAAGGCAGCCUGCCGCAGCGUGACUGACGCUGAAGCUCGAAAGCGCGGGUAUCGAACAGGAUUAGAUACCCUUGUAGUC
rnacentral:rRNA from 1 species